AAUAUAUUUAUAUAUACAUAUUUUGGUCUUAGUCUGAAGGAAGACGUCUCCGAGGGAGACACACGGCGAGUUUCCGCAUGUUUCAUUAAUUUCUGCGCAUGUGCCUGGAAUCUCGCAUCUCUAGUUCUUUCAUAAAAUGGAAUUUCAACAUCAACUAAGUUUUUUGGGACAAAGGAAAUAUCAUUGCAGCAACUAAGCAGAUACACUGCUGCAGGAAACGCACACACGGUUAAAGAUUGACUUGGUCGGUUGAUGAAGGAGAAAGCAAAGAGUAAAGUAAAAAAAAUAUGUUUUCUGGAUUCUCCCAAACCAGAGAGGAUAUAUCUCGCCGUAAUUGACGAGCUUCACCGGAACCUGGCCGACGCAGACCAAGUCCCGGAUGAACUCGAAAAGUUUUCGAUUUUGCUCCUCUUUAUUGUUUCUUCGCAAAAUUUUCGGGAAAAGAAAGUGAAUUACUUGUUUCUUAGUUAGAGCCUUUGUUGGAUUCUGAUUUUGGGCCAAGAAUUGCAAUUAAGGUUGUGGAGAGCCUGCGAGGCGAUAUACUGGCAGGGAAGCUCAAAUGUGCGAGUGAAAUGAUUAUAUAUUAUUUAUAUUAAUCUAUUAUUUGCCUUAUUGGAAUUGGAAGUACUUUAUUAUUAUUAUUAUUAUUUAGGAAGUUUUGAAGAAAAGGGGGCUGGAUUAUUGAUUAAUCAAGGGAGCCAAGGCAGAGCUUUGUUCUUUAUUUUUUGUUACAUUUUAAUGGUUAGGAGCGGUAAUGUUUGUUGGUAUUAAUGGAGGUGGAAAUACAACAUCUAUCGAACUUUGCCAGAUAUCGAAGGCAGCAGGAGACACAUAUACAGCAGCUGCUAAGGAUCAACUUGAGAUAUGGGCUCUGAGGACUAGAAAUGCUAAACCACCAUCAGAUAUCCUCUUGAAGGCAGGGAAUAGAUAAGGUCUCUGGAUUCAUGGUCAGGGGAUGUUUCUUGCAAAAAUGGAGCUUUCAGUCACACAAGUCUUUGUAUCUGUGAGCAGUGCCACCACCUUGUUGGCACAGUUCAACAGUCAAGUCGUAUACAGCAGCACCUUUCUCCUCGAAUCCCAUUCCUUUUGGUGUGUGACUGAAUCAAUUACCUCUUUUCCCCUCCUUCUGGAGUACCAAGAGUUAAAUCCAGCGAACAAGUAUCUUUUCCAAAUGAAUCAUAUUUUAAAUCUAGAUUGAUCCAACCGUCUCCUUCAAAAAGGCAUACGGUAAAUAUGUUUCACGUGUUUAAUUAAUAUUGAGAGAGGAAGAUCAUAGCCGCAAAUCAGUGUUCUCCAGAACCUUUUAGUUAACAAGAAAACUUACAAGCUAAA